AGAGAGGAGGGUAUUUUGGACAUUGGACAUUGGACAUUAAUUAGGUUUUGACUUUAAAGGUGGGCAUUGUUCACCAUGAGAGGGAGGCUCUUCGUGUUUUGGUUUUCCGCCGUCGGCUCCUCGCAAGCUCCUCCUUUCCCUUCCUCGCGGGACCAUGACUUGAGGCACGACGGGAGUCAUCGUCGCUCCUUUUCCUCUCUCUGAGCUUCUCCGUUGCCUCGCACACAAAGAGGGCUUCGUGGGUGGUUUUUCUGCCGCCGCCAAGGGGCCUUUUCCUCCUCCCUCUUAGCCGCCGUCGAUGCCGGCCGGCCCCUCUGCCCAUUCCUCUUCUUCCUUCUUCUCUGGACACACAGCAGCGACGACGAGUAGAGGAGCAUGUCCAGUAGAGGAGGACGCUACUUGUGCCACCUUCGUCGCCGACCAUGUUAGCCUCUCGCUGACGUUGAUGCCAUGGAGGAGUUGUCAUCUCCAGUGGGCGGGGCCGCCGCAGCCGCUGCCUCCGGCGGGCGCUGCCGCCCCCGGCGGCCGUCACCGUUGCCUCACGCCGCAUCCGACGACUACGGAUGCCACCACCAACGUCCCCAGCGGGCGUCGACACUUCUAUCAACGGCCGCCGAGGCUUCUCGCCGCUGCCGCCAACGCUUACAGCGGGUGUCGCCUCCAGCGGCAGUCGUUGCCACCUCUAGCGGUCGCCAUUACCCUCCGAGCAGCCGUCAUUUGGGUGCUUAGGUUCGUAUACUCCGACGUGUUUCGCUAUUUGCACCAUUAGUAGGCCCUGUGUGGUAUUGGUAUUAUCCGGUCUGCGUGGCGUGUUCCGGCCUGCGAGUGUUGUGGUAUUGUGGCCUACAUGUCGCCUUUUUAUAUUCAUACCGCACCGGAUUCCGUGUCGUCGCCCUCAGAUCCGGCUUCCCGGCUGACUCACAUCCAUCUACUCGACAGAGCCGCGACAACUUGACCAGCAUCACGAUCAGCUCACCCAUCCAUCCGAGGGCGCCCCCCGGGGCCAAGGUAUGUCACCGUAUCUAUCUUAUAUUUAUUUCAUUGUUUCGCUAUUAUUAUUUAGCUGCUUAUAUAUUCGUGGGACCUGUCUCGAGCAUCAAGGUACCAGGGAUCGGGGUAACCCGGUCGCUGGCUGCAGGUAUUGUUGACCAGAGGACUUUGGACGACUUGGUCAACGUAGAGGGCAGCUCGCCACCAAGUCAGGGGGAUGCGGUCAACCUUCCAGACAUGUCACACCGACAGGUCUGUCUUCCCAGCUUCCCGAUAGGAUCAAAUUGGCGUCGUCUGUGGGAACGCACCUAGUCAGGAACGUGAAGACGGACGACCUGGAAAGUUCCGCCAUCCUCAUGGCCUUGAUGAGUUUUGACGAGUAUAUCGUAUCCUCCUCACUCCACGGGUAUUCGGGAGUCGAGAAAUUGAGUCAGAUCCUCUGCUGGUCGGCAGGUAUUGUUGACCAGAGGACUUUGGAUAACUUGGUCAACGUAGAGGACAGCUCGCCACCAGGUCAGGGGGAUGUGAUCAACCUUCCAGACAUGUCAGACCGAUAGAUCUGUCUUCUCAACUUCCCGACAAGAUUAAUGACAUUUAUCAAGCGCUAUAUCAAGUUACUUACACCUAAGCUGGACAAGGCAAAGCAAGAAUUGUUCAAGAAACAUAUUGAAGCAACUUCCAAGUUCUUGCUCUCCAAAAUCAAAGACUUGCAAUUUUUUGUGGGUGAGAGCAUGCUUGAUGAUGGAAGUCUUGUCUUUGCAUGCUACAAGGAUGCUGCAACUGAUCCAACAUUUUUAUAUUUGGCCUACGGACUAAAGGAGAUCAAGUGUUAGGGACGGUCUCAAGUUCCAAAGAUGUUUUGAGGAAAACAUAAUUUUAUAGAUUUUGUUUCGUUUUGCUGUUUCAAAAAUUGUUUUGAAAUGGUUCAAACCAUUUUUUUACUUAUGAUUGGGGUUAGAGCAGAGGUUCUCCUCAAUUUAUUCAUAUCUUUCAAUUUGAUUACUGCUAAGGUGGUAAACAAAUUGAGCCGGACUUUAGGAUAUUCAAAUUUAUUUGAUAAGGUAAUCAAAUCAAAUCGAGCCGAACUUAAAA